GGAUAACAACAGGAGGCAGUCUCCACCCUGAUCCUCCCACUGGGUCCUGGGCGUGAAGGUGGGAGUUAGCAGUGUGGGGUAAGGCCCCAGUGGCGGCGAGCUUGACCAGCAUGGGCACUGGCAGACUGUGAAACAGGGGAUUUCCUUCAGCAUUUCUGCAGUCACCACAGCUGAAUCCCUCUGUUUGUUUACUUCUUACUGUCAGUCGUCACCUACUCCUGGAAGGAUUUUGCUUGGUUCUGUUUUGAGCACCUUCUGUGGGCCAGACGCUGCAUUAGGUGCUGUCGACACGAUGAUGAGCAAGACAGUUCUACAUCUCCCUGGAGCCUGAAUAUCUUUAUCUGUAUAGUGGGGACAAAAAUCCCACAAUAAUGACUUGGCCCUUCUCAAGGGGUUGUGUGGAGAUCAGCUGAGCUAAUGGAGGAGAAAGUGCUUUGUAAAAUAUUAAGGCACGAUACCAAUAUGAAGAAUGAUCAGAUACAGAGUGAAAGUAGAUGUUAAAAAAGAAG
rnacentral:lncRNA from 1 species